UAGCCAGACUCCUACGGGAGGCAGCAGUGGGGAAUAUUGCACAAUGGGGGAAACCCUGAUGCAGCGACGCCGCGUGAGUGAAGAAGUCAUUCGUUAUGUAAAGCUCUAUCAGCAGGGAAGAGAAUGACGGUACCUGAAGAAGAAGCCCCGGCUAACUACGUGCCAGCAGCCGCGGUAAUACGUGGGGGGCAAGCGUUAUCCGGAUUUACUGGGUGUAAAGGGGGCGCAGACGGCGAUGCAAGCCAGGAGUGAAAGCCCGGGGCCCAACCCCAGGACUGCUCUUGGAACUGCGUGGCUAGAGUGCAGGAGGGGCAGGCGGAAUUCCUGGUGUAGCGGUGAAAUGCAUAGAUAUCACGCAGAACUCCGAUUGCGAAGGCAGCGCACCGGCGCCCUACUGACGCUCAGGCACGAAAGCGUGGGUAUCGAACAGGAUUAGAUACCCGUGUA
rnacentral:rRNA from 1 species